UAGUCCACGCCGUAAACGAUGGACACUUGGUGUUGGAGGUUUUGACCCCUUCAGUGCCGUAGCUAACGCGUUAAGUGUCCCGCCUGGGGAGUACGGUCGCAAGAUUAAAACUCAAAGAAAUUGACGGGGGCCCGCACAAGCGGUGGAGCAUGUGGUUUAAUUCGAUGCAACGCGCAAAACCUUACCUGGCCUUGACAUCUAGGGGACGACUACCAGAAAUGGUGUUUUCUUCGGACUCCUAGACAGGUGCUGCAUGGCUGUCGUCAGCUCGUGUCGUGAGAUGUUGGGUUAAGUCCCGCAACGAGCGCAACCCUUAUUGUUAGUUGCCAGCAUUUAGUUGGGCACUCUAACGAGACUGCCGUCCAUAAGACGGAGAAGGUGGGGAUGACGUCAAGUCCUCAUGGCCCUUAUGGCCAGGGGCUACACACGUGCUACAAUGGUAGGUACAGAGAGAAGCAAAGUAGCAAUGCCUAGCAAAUCU
rnacentral:rRNA from 1 species